GAUGAACGCUGGCGGCGUGCCUAAUACAUGCAAGUCGAGCGAACAGACGAGGAUCUUGCUCCUCUGACGUUAGCGGCGGGGGGGUGAGUAACACGUGUAUAACCCACCUAUAAGACUGGGAUAACUUCGGGAAACCGGAGCUAAUACCGGAGAAGAUAUUGAACCGCAUGGGUGAAUGGUGAAAGACGGUGUUUCUGGCACUUAUAGAGGGAUCCGCGCCGCAUUAGCUAGUUGGUAAGGUAACGGGUUACGAAGGCGACGCUGCGUAGGCGCACUGCGUGGGUGGUCAGCCAGCCUGGAAGUGAGACACGGCCCAGUCUCAUAGGGGUGCCACCCGUAGGGCAUCUUGCGGAAUGGGCGAAAGCCUGACGGAGCAACGCCGCGUGCUUAAUGAAGGUCUUCGGGUCGUAAAACUCUGUUAUUAGGGAGGAACACGUGUGUAAGUAACUCUGCGCGUGUUGACGGUACCUGAUCAGAAAGCCACGGCUAACUUCGUG
rnacentral:rRNA from 1 species